rnacentral:lncRNA from 1 species
GGAGCGGGCAGGAGGAUGAAGGAAGGAUCAGCCUUCCACCAGGCCUCGGGGCCUCCCAGCAAUGAAUGUUUCCCUCUUCCGUGGAGCCACCAUCCCAUCCAUUGCUGGCGAUUUUAAAAGAGAAGCAAGAAGAUGGAGGAGGUAUUGAGGGUGAAUGGAAGAUUCUGGAUGCAGUGUCUGAACCUGUGUACACCUGUUGGGGCAGCCCUGCUGUGCCCUAUGGAGCGGGUCUCAAGUUCCCAGGAUAGGAGAGAAGGUGACAGCUCUCUCCAGAGAGUCAUCAACUUGAGUCAUCAACUUGUGACAACUCAACCCCACAGAAAAAGGGGCUGGAGGAAAAGGGGUAGGGAGAGGAGGCGGGGGCCCUCCAAAACCAGCUUGCAAAUCACGAGCAAACCAGCAUCCGGAGCUUUUUGGAAUCAAGCCUCAGGUGAGUCUUGCAACCCCACAAGUGAGAUUAAAAACCAGGGGUAAGGGAGUUC